GCGGGACUUUCAUCGCAGACCCAAAUUAACACCGGUAAUUCCUUGCCGUCCGAAUUGCGGCCGAAGGAACAACCCCGGGCGGGGCUCAGAGGCCGGGCCGCCGCCCCCACCCCCGGCCGCGCCUCGGCCGAACAAAGGCGGCGGUGGCGGCGGGGCCGCUCCGUGCGGUGCGAGCACGGCGAGGGUCCAGCCCACACAGAGCCGAGCCCGGCAGCGCUGGAAGCGCCCCGCACCCCGGCCCCACGCUCGGCCCGGCCCCACUCCGCGGCGUGUCGGGAGGAAGCGCCGGCCGCCGGCCCCUCGGCUCGCCCGCCCCCCGUCUCCUCCCCUUCGCAGCCGAUCCUCCGCCCCCUCCUCCUCCUCCCGCUGGCGGCGGCGGCGGCUUUCUCGGCCCCGGCUCCCCCCGCUUUUCCCCGCGGCUUCGCCUCGCUCCUCAGCGGGAGGCUCCGCGUCGUGCCGGCGAAGACGGAGCUGAAGAAGCAUCCUUUCCUUGUGAAAGGGCCCCUGGUAGCAGCAUUGCUCUUUCUCCAGUACCUCUACACAGCGUUAGGCAAGUCUGUCUUAAAUAACUAUCAAAUUCAUGAAUGGACUCAGACCUUUGGAUUCAGAAUGACCUUUGUAUGUUGUUGUCCUUUUCUACUUGACAGCUUAAUCAGUGUGUGCUACCCAAGGAGGUCAGUGGGCUGUUGGAAGUGAAGCUGUUUCUGUUGUGCGUGCUGGCGCAUGUAUGUAUAUGCAGCUUCAACUAUGUUGUGGAAUUGUUUUGAGUCAUGGUUGGGUGAGCAGGCCUUGGGACGAUAACAUGCACUUUCUAAAUGUAUAUCUACAUAUAUAUGCACAUGCAUACAUGUAUAAUCCUUUUGUGAUCCGUUUUAUUAUCCGUUUGCCACUGUUA
rnacentral:lncRNA from 1 species